rnacentral:rRNA from 1 species
CAGGCCUAACACAUGCAAGUCGAACGAGAUCCUUCGGGGUCUAGUGGCGCACGGGUGCGUAACGCGUGGGAAUCUGCCCUUGGGUUCGGAAUAACAGCGAGAAAUUGCUGCUAAUACCGGAUAAUGACGUAAGUCCAAAGAUUUAUCGCCCAGGGAUGAGCCCGCGUAGGAUUAGCUAGUUGGUGGGGUAAAGGCCUACCAAGGCGACGAUCCUUAGCUGGUCUGAGAGGAUGAUCAGCCACACUGGGACUGAGACACGGCCCAGACUCCUACGGGAGGCAGCAGUGGGGAAUAUUGGACAAUGGGCGAAAGCCUGAUCCAGCAAUGCCGCGUGAGUGAUGAAGGCCUUAGGGUUGUAAAGCUCUUUUAUCCGGGACGAUAAUGACGGUACCGGAGGAAUAAGCCCCGGCUAACUCCGUGCCAGCAGCCGCGGUAAU